rnacentral:rRNA from 1 species
UACGGGGGGGGCAAGCGUUGUUCGGAAUUACUGGGCGUAAAGGGCUCGUAGGUGGCCAACUAAGUCAGACGUGAAAUCCCUCGGCUUAACCGGGGAACUGCGUCUGAUACUGGAUGGCUAGAGAUUGGGAGAGGGAUGCGGAAUUCCAGGUGUAGCGGUGAAAUGCGUAGAUAUCUGGAGGAACACCGGUGGCGAAGGCGGCAUCCUGGACCAACACUGACGCUCAUGUGCGAAAGCGUGGGGAGCAAACAGG